GAGUAAUUUCUUAACGAUUUAUUAAUUAAAAUCACGUGUUCGAAGAAUUACGUAGAAGGGAGAUUCCGAAGGUGUACAUGGAUAUAUACGUAUAUAAUAUUAUCACAGGUUUUUACGUAAAUGUGUGUGUACGUGUGAGUGUGUGUGUGUGAAAACGCCGCGUCUACAUUCUCUCUCCCCUCUCCUAUCUCCAAUAUUCCGAACGUAAAGCGACGUUGAUCCUCUUGCGGUUUUCCGACGUUCAGUUUACGAUUGCUUUUGCAUUAAGAAAGAAGCGAUGCCGUGUAAUAUAUCCUCGUGUUUUCGUUUAAACUCGUUAUUGUUCGUAAUUUUACGAAAUAACACGUGAGAAAAAGUGGAAGAAACUUUUAACCCGAGUUAUUUAUAAUUAUUUACACGCGUAUAUAUUUUAAACCCGGAAGAUUUACAACGUGAUAUAUACAACGGUGCGAUAAGGCAACAAAAAAAGAAACAAAAAAAAAAGAAUACAUUUUCUUCGUCGUCGUCGUCUUCUUUGUGAUCUUCAUCGAAAAAAAAAAAAUGUUUCAAUUAUCCUUGAAGAUUCUACUCGCUGCAUUGAUGUUUGUGAAUUUAGCAUUCACGGUUCCCAUCGAAGAUCCUAAUUCUGUCUCGAAUAAAUCGAAAAACAUGAUAAUUUCAGCUGAUGUAGAAAAUAUUACAUUUAAUCACGAGACAUAUAAGGAAGAUAAACAUUUAAAAGAAGGUAAUCAAAAUGUAACAGUUAACUUGACAGAUCAUCAAAAAACAUCAUCGAACGAAGGAGCAUCAUCAACUAAGACAUUACCCGUAACGUUGCAAAAUAAUUCAAACCCUAUCCCUCCGGUAUUGAAAAAGAAGGAUGAUAAUCAUACUAAUCAAAAUGUAACGAAACGACCGGUCGAAGAAACAACACCUAUUAAUCAAGUAACCGAGAUUAAAAAUGCAAGUGAUCUUACCGGAGAACAAAAAGAUUUGACCGAAGUAUCCGUGUCUCCUCGGGACGAAGAAGACGUUACGACCAUUGUCCCUGUACCAUUGGAAGCAACUAUAUCAUCAUCAUCAUCAUCAUCACCAUCAUCAUCAUCAUCGUCAUCACCACCAUCAUUGUCUACCACCACGUUGAAAAGUAUCAACGAGACGAUUACCGUAAACAAUGCUACAAUUAAAAAGGAAAAAUCUAAUGAAGAAAAUCCUGAUAGUGAACAUAAAGAAAACGUAGAAAAUACAACCCACCAGAUGAAUACUUCUACUACUACUGUAUUGAUUAACGUAACAACAGAAACUAUAGAAUCAUCUAGCGUGACAUUAAAAUCCACAGAGGUAACUACCGUUGUGUCUUCCGAGAACGAUCAGGUGGAUGUUGGAAUCAGUACUGCGGCGGUAGAGAAGAAGGAAAGUGUCGUAGAACAGGAGGUACAAUCGAAUAUUAAAAGCAAAACAUUAUCUGCCAAUGAAAAAGAUAGCAAUGGAAGUAUGCCAGCUGGUAUUAUUGUAUUGGUAACAGCACUCGCAUUUGCUGCUGCUAUCGUUGUUGGAUAUAUCAGUAUAGUUAUCUGGAAGCAAUAUCUCGAACACAGAUACGGACGUCGAGAAUUAUUGGUGAACGAGUUGGAAUUCGAUACGAACGAUCUGAGACAUUUUGAGCUCUGACUUGGGGAAGAAGAUAAAUGAUAUUAUCUGAUGUGUGCUUGCCGAGUCAUACGCAGAUCAUGAGGACACUAACAAGGCAACGAGUGAGCAUUUCAUAUGAAUGCUAGGUUUUAGAGUUUUACGAUUGAUGAUUACGUGAUGAUUUCUUUUAAGUAAAACUGUGUAACCGAAAAUAUAAAUAGUAUUAACAAAAACAACACAGUACUGUUUAUGCUAAUGAUGAAAAUAAUGAAUUUCUUUUCUACGACAUGCUUUAGUAGAUGUACAUAUUUCAAAAAUGAAGAUGAUGAUAAUAAUAAACCUCGUACGUUAUUUUUUUA
rnacentral:misc_RNA from 1 species